rfam:Ictidomys tridecemlineatus contig025869, whole genome shotgun sequence.
UGUAGCUCAGUGGUAGAAUGUUUGCCUAGUAUGCAUAAGGCCCUGGGUUCCACCCCCAGCA